CCUCUUUGUUGCUUAAAUUAAACCACCCACAGCCCUCACAAACCUUCCCCAACCGGUUACUCCCUCUCUCAGCCAUUGUUGAGCAACCCCUACACCCAAAAAAAACCUUGAACACUAGACCCAUUCCCCCCCCCCCAAAAAAAAAAAAAAAACUCAUUCUCAUUUUUCUCUUCCCUGGAUCAUCCUCAUUGUUGACCACAGCAACCAUAGUUCGUUCUAGCCAACCACCCAGCCACCGUGUCCCUCACUAACGACUUCCUCUCACCCCAGUAACUCCAUCGUGACUCAACCAUGACAAACCAGCGACCUCCUCCCGGUAGCGAUGUCUCCUCCCCCAGCAGUGGCGUCCUUCACAUAGUGACCGUGCUAAAAAUUUGGUGAUUGGAAUCAACACCACCAGAUCUGUCCCUUCUCUCUCCUCACUCCCUCAGCCAACAACAACUCACCAUGAUGUCAACCACCUCUUCCUCCAUUGGUCAAUGUGGUAGCAACCAUUAAAGAGCCCAAAAAAUAAUAUUGAGAGAGGUGAAUCUGUAAGAAAAAAAGGAAUAAAUCGAUUGUGUGUGUUUGAGAUUUAUUUUGUUUGCAGGUAACAAAAAACUGCACAGCCGACAGGGAAGGGAAGAGGUGAAGGAGCCGCUUCAUAUCCAAUAGUUUUUGGCCCUCAAUCAAUAACGGUGCAUAGUACACACGCCACAACUGUUUCAACGGCCCUUUUAACUUGAUUCCAGUAACUCUUAGAUACUCUAAACGCCUUCAAAAGUUCGAUUCAU
rnacentral:lncRNA from 1 species